AACCCUAUAGUUUAAUGGUAAAAUAUUUCGCUCAUAACGAAAGGUUAUUGGUUCGAUUCCAGUUAGGCCUA
rnacentral:tRNA from 1 species